rnacentral:rRNA from 1 species
GACGAACGCUGGCGGCGUGCUUAACACAUGCAAGUCGAACGGAAAGGCCUGCUUUCCCUUGUGGAUUGCGGGUACUCGAGUGGCGAACGGGUGAGUAACACGUGAGUGAUCUGCCCCCAACUUGGGUAUAAGCCUGGGAAACUGGGUCUAAUUCCCGAUAGGACUGCAGGGUGGUGCCUGUGGUGGAAAACGAUUUUCUAGUGGUUGGGGAUGAGCUCGCGGCCUAUCAGCUUGUUGGUGGGGUAAUGGCCUACCAAGGCGGCGACGGGUAGCCGGCCUGAGGGGGUGGACGGCCACAUUGGGACUGAGAUACGGCCCAGACUCCUACGGGAGGCAGUAGUGGGGAAUAUUGCACAAUGGGCGGAAGCCUGAUGCAGCGACGCCGCGUGGGGGAUGACGGCCUUCGGGUUGUAAACUCCUUUCGACCGCGAGGAAGCCACCUGGUUGGAAGGGUGGUGACGGUAGUGGUAGAAGAAGCACCGGCUAACUACGUG